GGGAAGUUGAGUGACUGCAGAUGUUUGGGGGUUUUUUUGCCAAGGUUUUUUGCUGGAUAAGAGCCUCUGCAAGUUUGAGGAGAAGGAAGAAAAAGAGAUAGAAAGAAGCAUUGGAUGAAUAUGAGGGCUGUCAAAGGGAAUGCAUGGCUGGCCAGGAGUUCAGCAGUGUAGUGACAGCGCAAGCCAGGGGAACUGCUGGGGCACAAACCUCUGGGGGAGCAAUGCGACCAGCCAGCCCUGUGCAACUGCUUGUGCUAGAGGUGGUGGCAGCCCCAUGCCCAAGGCACUCCUCCAAGGCUGGGUCCUGGAGCUGCUUGAAGCAAGCAUCCAUACAGAAAAACACACAGAUCCCUGAGAAACACUUGGGGUACGUGGGGAUGUGUAUUCACCCCUGAACCUGGAAUACACACAGUGGCCAGCCAUCAAAGGGCCUGCAGAGGAAGGCUGCUACAGAAGGAGGAUCUCUGGGAAGUUUAUUUUGUAGAGUAUGGCUAAAAACAGGGAUGUACAGAGGCCCCAGGGCAAAGAGGGGAAACAGUGCUGCCGCAGUGGGCAUUUAGGCUGAGUUCCAUCACACACGCAGGCAGGCAGAGCAUCACUUCCUGAGGAAGGUGUGCCUUCCUCUUCCAUCAACACAUGCAUGCCAUGGGCCCCCCAUUCCAGGUUGACCUCAGGCAGUGCAGUGAGACUGGAGCAGGGAGCUGUGCUCUCCCAGUGCGUGUCAUUCACUACCAGAAUCCUCUGCGUGAGCACCAAGAGGAAAUGCUCUCCUCCUGCCAAGGCUCCCCUGGCAGAGGGAUGUCCCCACGGGCCCUGUGCCAUGUCAUUCCCCAUUUGCUAUCCUAUGGCCAUGAAUUUGGUAGGAAGGAGAAGUUACACGCAUGGAUCAUUCAGAGGCACUGCCCAUCAGCAAAUAAAAAAAAAAGCAAAUGCAGGCCCCAGGGGCUCAGUCACAUCCUGUCGGCUGGGAGCUGUUACUGGGGGCUCUCCAGCCCCAGCCCAGGCACUGCCAAAUGGGUUUUGCUCGAGUUCCACUGAGCUGAUGGAGGAGGAAGGGCUGUG
rnacentral:lncRNA from 1 species